UGAAAUACUACUGCUAACUGAACACAAACCUUUAUAAAACAAAUCAGUCUACUAACCAAGCAAGGAAAUUGUUGUCCACCAUCGACCUUCUUUGUUGGUGAAAAUCUGCUAAAAGAAACCUCAAGCAACUUAUUUUACCAAUUCAUACAUCCUGCAUUUCAUGAGAAUACUGGCAAUAACUAAGCAGAGAAAUAUGGCUGCAAGGCUUGAGAAUUAAUACCCUAGGACUGCAGUCUCAGUGAAAAGUAGAAUGUCUGGAAAUCUAUUGUGCCAUACCAGGAGCAUCUGGAGUUGAAGGUACAGGCUUCAAAUUCAGGACCAGGACAUUUAACUGUGCUGUUUCAAGCUACAGAUGCAGAUGCCGAGCUGUACCGCACAGCUGACUUUCCUCACAUGGAACCCACAGAAUUAUAUAUUUC